rnacentral:rRNA from 1 species
UACGUAGGGUGCGAGCGUUAAUCGGAAUUACUGGGCGUAAAGCGUGCGUAGGCGGUUCGCUGUGUCCGAUGUGAAAGUCCAGGGCUCAACCCUGGAAUGCCGGUGGAUACUGUCGGGCUAGAGUCCGGAAGGGGCGAGUGGAAUUCCUGGUGUAGCGGUGAAAUGCGCAGAUAUCAGGAGGAACACCAAUGGCGAAGGCAGCUCGCUGGGACGUGACUGACGCUGAGACGCGAAAGCGUGGGGAGCAAACAGG